GCCAGUGUGGCAUAGUGGCUUGAGUGUUGGACUGCAGCUCUGGAGACCACAGUUCGAUUUCGAGCUCGGUCA